rnacentral:rRNA from 1 species
UACACUCCUACGGGAGGCAGCAGUGGGGAAUAUUGGACAAUGGGCGCAAGCCUGAUCCAGCCAUGCCGCGUGAGUGAUGAAGGCCCUAGGGUUGUAAAGCUCUUUCACCGGUGAAGAUAAUGACGGUAACCGGAGAAGAAGCCCCGGCUAACUUCGUGCCAGCAGCCGCGGUAAUACGAAGGGGGCUAGCGUUGUUCGGAUUUACUGGGCGUAAAGCGCACGUAGGCGGACUAUUAAGUCAGGGGUGAAAUCCCGGGGCUCAACCCCGGAACUGCCUUUGAUACUGGUAGUCUUGAGUUCGAGAGAGGUGAGUGGAAUUCCGAGUGUAGAGGUGAAAUUCGUAGAUAUUCGGAGGAACACCAGUGGCGAAGGCGGCUCACUGGCUCGAUACUGACGCUGAGGUGCGAAAGCGUGGGGAGCAAACAGGAUUAGAAACCCUGGUAGUCCCAUGA